rnacentral:rRNA from 1 species
ACCUCCGUGUGGGGAUACCCGCCGAAAGGCGGGCUAAUACCGCGUGCGGUCCCCAGACGACAUCGGCUGGGGAAGAAAGCCGGCCUCUGCUUGCACGCCGGCGCCGGAGGAUGGGCCCGCGGGCUAUUAGCUUGUUGGUGGGGUAACGGCCUACCAAGGCGAUGAUGGCUAGCCGGCCUGAGAGGGCAUUCGGCCACACAGGGACUGAGACAAGGCCCUGUCCCCUACGGGAGGCGCAGGCGGGAAUUGUUCACAAUGGGCGCAAGCCUGAUGACGCGACGCCGCGUGAGGGAUGAAGGCCUUCGGGUUGUAAACCUCUGCCGGGAGAGAAGAAAGACGGGCGGUUAAUACCCGCCCGGGCUGACGUUAUCUCCCAAGGAAGCCUCGGCUAACUACGUGCCAGCAGCCGCGGUAACACGUAGGAGGCAAGCGUUGUCCGGAAUUACUGGGCGUAAAGGGUGUGUAGGCGGGACGGUAAGUCGGGCGUGAAAUCCCACGGCUCAACCGUGGAACUGCGCUCGAUACUGCCAUCCUCGAGUACGGGAUAGGAGAGCGGAACUCACGGUGUAGCGGUAAAAUGCGUAGAUAUCGUGAGGAACACCGGUGGCGUAGGCGGCUCUCUAGCCCGAUACUGACGCUGAGACACGAAAGCCAGGGUAGCGAACGGGAUUAGAUACCCCGGUAGUCCUGGCCGUAAACGAUGGGCACUAGGUGUGGGAAGCAUCGACCCUUUCCGUGCCGAAGCCAACGCAUUAAGU